CUCUUUCAUGUCUCAGAGGCUAUGAAGAAACCAACAGAGUCUUACAUCGGCCGAGAAACUCAUGCAGCUUAAAAACGGCAAAGGCAAUGUUUUUCAUUUGAGUUGCCCUUUCAUUUUUUUCUCCUUGCUAACUUUUUGAUCUAAAUCUUCUUAACUUUAUAUUAAAUGCUGUGGCCUGCUUGAGGUGUCAGAGUCUUUCCAAUCACUGUUUAUCUGAUGGAUUCCAGCAAGUAUGGAAAUGAAGCAAAGAUUUUGACUCAUGGUUCUGAUAGAGGUCACAGGCUAAGGAUGUCAUUGCUCACAUCAGGAGUAUUUCUAGCUGUUAAAGCAGUAAGAGAGGAGCUGAAGUGGAGUGAUCAUGGGAAAGAGAAAAAGAGUGACAGUAAGAAAGAAGGAAAAAAUCAGGCCUAACAGAGGAGGCCCAUACGUUCUCCAGAUGUUCUCCUACACACAACUGAGACAUGAAGGAGAAACGCUUCACAGAAGCUCUUGACACACACACAUAUUCAAGCUCUCUUUAUGGUAGAACAUGGCUGGUUAGCAUCAUGUCUAUGUCCAGAAAAAAGCUAAGAGCUCACCCCCUCCUCUUUCACAUGUGAAACCCUGUGAAAUACAGACUCGCUCAUUAUUCCACAUUUCAUGAAGUCAUCCCAAGCAUGCCGGAUUUACAUUUUUGGUCUGGUAUAAAUUUUUUGAAGCAUUUAAUAAUAAACCAACAUCUGUAUGAAAAAACAACCAGCUCUCAACAUCUCAGUAAACACCCAUCCGUACCUCAUUUUCCCUUUCUCUUGCCCUCUCUCUCCCUCUCUCGUUUUCAGGGAAUACAUUGAAUAGCAUUGUUUCUUUGUUCAGGCUUUGUUUUCCCUUAGUGCAGGCACACACACUCUAACAAACACAUGACCUAACACACACACACACACACACACA
ensembl:lncRNA